GAAGGUGGAAAGAAGAGAUUGAAAGUUUAAAUUUUAAAUAUAUUUUAUUGUAUUAAGUUGUUUAAAAAUUAGUAAUCCAUAAAUAGCAUAUAGAAUAACUUCCUAUAAGUGUUUUUUUAAUUAAUUUCUAUGUUCCCUACCUCUAACUCCUAGCAUAGUAAAAAGAACAAAAUAGACACCCUAAAUAAUUACUUAAUAUAACUUAUUUUUAUCAGAAUGUUUAAUUAAGUCUAACAGCUUGUUCACACAGUCUUAGGUGGCUUUGGUUGUGUAAAGGAACUUUUGUGUGUAAAUUCACCCUCUAGUUGGUUUUCUGAACUAAAUGACAAUAAUAAAAAAACAAACACAUUUUUCAAAAUACAGAAAACGUCAAAAACAGGAUUGUUAUGAAAGGGUAAGAUACAAAUCAAACAAAUAAGACAUCUAAGCUGAUAAAAUGCAGUAAAGUGGUGAGCAAAGCCAGCACAAGUGGGCCCCACUUCAACUACAAACACAUUGAAGAUUUGAGGACAUAGAUGUGAAAGAAAGGAAAGGAAAUCCCCAAAUGCCAAAAACCGAUGUCAGAGGAGGGGCACGGUGGGACUCACAGGCAGACCUCACAGUGACCCUGGCGCUCCACGCGCGUGCAGCCCCAAGUCUGCAUGGAGGACACGGGCCUGUGGGGCGAGCCGCCCACUCACCAGACAAGGACAAAAAGAGCUGGUCCUGUCUGUCCACGUCUGGACGGAAAGUCAGGAAAGGCCCCCGUGAGAAACAGAAACCCCUGUUGCGGGGGGAGCCUCCAGCUAAGAGAGGAACAUGAAAUCUCCAGGGCCUGCCUGGAAGCGGCAAAGGCUGAACCUUUCUGCAGGGACACCUACGAAGCCAGGGUACUGAGACUCAUGACAGGAGCGCUGGCCUGCUCCUAACCCAUGUUCAAGGGACAUAAGCAGAGCUGGCGUGUAAGAGGGUUGGCUCCCCAAGAAUUGAAACUAAUAGGAUUCUCUGAAAAAGACUGACAAUCAAUACAAAUAAGUAUGUUUAAAAUUAGUGAAUAAACAAUUUGUUUUAAUUACAUCCAAAAA